AGGGCACGUCGGCCCAUGCUGCAUGGUGACCUGCCUCCUGCAACCCAGGAAGCUACACCAGCAAUCAGCUUCUGCCUCCUGGCCGUCCUUCCACACCCCAGGUUGAAUGGGGCUGAGCCUGAGUUCUCCCCACUGAAGGUAAGUUGGAGGAGACUUCAGGCCAGGGCAGUCUCCUGUUUUCUCUUGGAAACCACAGCAGCCCAUGCGCACAGAAUGGCAGCCACACUCCAGUUUCCAGGGUACCAGGAGAUGCCGCUGACCUUCCAGGAUGUGGCCGUGUACUUCUCUCAGGCGGAGGGACAGCAGCUGGGCCCCCAGCAGCGGGCGCUCUACAGAGAUGUGAUGCUGGAGAACUAUGGGAACGUGGCCUCUCUGGGGUUCCCUAUCCCUAAGCCGGAGUUGAUCUCCCAGCUGGAGCAGGGGAAGGAACUUUGGGUCCUGAAUCUUCUGGGAGCUGAGGAACCAGAUAUCUUGAAAAGCUGCCAGAAAGAUUCCGAGGUUGGGACCAAGAAGGAACUAUCUAUUUUAAACCAAAAAUUUUCCGAAGAAGUAAAAAACCCAGAAUUUGUAUCAAGAAGACUCUUAACGGAUAAUGCACAGGCAGCUGAGUUUCGGGAAGCGUGGGGCCGUGAGGGCAAACUCGAAGAGCACCUGGGAAAUUCUGCCGGGCAGAGUUUGAACAAACCCAGUAUUCACAAGAGAGUUUUAACAGAAGCUACCGUGGGUAGGGAAAGAUCUUUGGGAGAAAGAACCCAAGAGUGUAGUGCAUUUGAUAGAAACUUGAAUCUGAACCAAAAUGUUGUUAGACUUCAAAGAAAUAAAACAGGAGAGAGGGUCUUUAAAUGUGAUAUAUGCAGCAAAACCUUCAAAUAUAAUUCAGACCUAAGUAGACACCAGAGAAGUCACACUGGGGAGAAGCCGUACGAAUGUGGCCGGUGUGGGCGAGCCUUUACUCACAGCUCAAAUCUUGUUCUGCACCAUCACAUUCACACUGGAAAUAAACCAUUUAAAUGUGAUGAAUGUGGGAAAACUUUUGGACUCAAUUCUCACCUCCGUCUUCAUCGGAGAAUUCACACUGGAGAAAAACCCUUUGGCUGUGGUGAGUGUGGGAAGGCUUUCAGUCGAAGCUCAACUCUUAUUCAACAUCGGAUAAUUCACACAGGAGAGAAGCCCUACAAGUGUAAUGAAUGUGGAAGAGGCUUUAGCCAGAGCCCCCAGUUAACUCAGCAUCAGAGAAUUCACACUGGAGAGAAGCCGCAUGAAUGCAGUCACUGUGGGAAGGCCUUCAGUCGAAGUUCCAGCCUUAUUCAGCAUGAGAGAAUUCACACUGGAGAGAAGCCUCAUAAAUGCAAUCAGUGUGGGAAGGCCUUCAGUCAGAGCUCAAGCCUUUUCCUCCAUCAUCGGGUUCAUACCGGAGAGAAACCCUAUGUAUGUCAUGAAUGCGGUAGAGCCUUUGGUUUUAACUCUCAUCUUACUGAACAUGUAAGGAUUCACACAGGAGAAAAACCCUAUGUUUGUAAUGAGUGUGGCAAAGCCUUUCGUCGGAGUUCCACUCUUGUUCAGCAUCGAAGAGUUCACACUGGGGAGAAGCCCUACCAAUGCGUUGAAUGUGGGAAAGCUUUCAGCCAGAGCUCCCAACUCACCCUACAUCAGCGAGUUCACACUGGAGAGAAGCCCUAUGAAUGUGGUGACUGUGGGAAGGCCUUCAGCCGGAGGUCAACCCUCAUUCAGCAUCAGAAAAUUCACAGUGGAGAGACUCGUAAGUGCGGAAAACGUGGUCCAGCCUUUGUUCAUGGCUCCAGCCUCACAGCAGAUAGACAGAUUCCCACUGGAGAGAAGCACAGCGGAGACUUUAACCAUGGUGCAAAUCUCAUUCUGCGCUGGACAAUUCACACUGGUGAGAAAUCCUUUGGAUGUAAUGAAUAUGGAAAAGCUUUCAGUCCCACCUCACAACCCACUGAAGAUCAGAUAGUGCAUGCUGGGGAAAAGCCCUAUAAAUGUCAAGAAUGUGGAAACGCCUUCAGUGGAAAUUCAACCCUUGUUCAACAUCAGGUAACUCACACUGGUCGGAAACCACGUCAUUGCAGUGUGUGUGGGAAACCCUUCAGCCAGAGUUCACAGCUCACACCACCUCAGCAGACUCAUGUUGGAGAGAAACCUGCUUUAAAUGAUGGAUCUAAAAGAUACUUUAUUCAUAUCAAGAAGAUUUUCCCAGAAAGACAUUUUUAAUGUGAUAAAUGCAGAAGACAAUUUAGCAACUGUUCACUUUACAUUGGAAGAUAAGAUGGCAUAAUGAAAGUCUUGUGCUGUCACCCAGGCUGGAGUGCAGUGGCACAAUCUCAACUCACUGCAACCUCUGCCUCCCAGAUUCAAGCAAUUCUGCCUCAGCCUCCCGAGUAGCUGGGACUACAGGGGAUGCUUGAGGCAAAGGAUUCCUCGACCUCUACCCACUCGAGGCACUGGGCCAGAAAUGAGGUGGAAAGCACUGGAAGAGGCGCGCGCCGGGGGCUCCUGCGGGGACCCCUCAAGCCACUCUCGGCGUCGCCCCGCGGACUCAUUAGCGACAUCCCCUGUGGGCGCCUCGCGUUCCCGCCGUAGAGGAACGACCAGGCGAGGCAAGGAAACGCCUGGCUGGGGCAGCGGGGACGUGGCCCCUCCCCACGCUUUUGUCCUACCCACCCCCUCGGGCGCGCUUUGCCGACCACGCGGCAAUGCGGACGCCCAGACUCGGGUGCGGGGCGCAGCGGCCCUCCCCCACCGCUCCGGGAGAGCGAGCGCUUCUGGGCGUGGCCCCGCCACACGCCGCCACCAUUGCGCCCACUGCCACUUCUAGGGGCUCCUCCGACGGUCAUGGAUGUGCUGAGGCUACGCCGGGCGGGCAGCAGGGGCGAGUCCGCGCGUCCCUCGGGGCCGAAAGGAGCACUGUGGCCGGUGACCCCGGGCAGAAACCUGGUGGGAGCGCACUGGCAGUAGCCGUCCGCAGAGGUCUGCGCACCUGCUCUUGGUCCGCUCUGGGACACGCGGAUGACCGCCCACUCGGUGGUUCAGCGGUCCCCGACGGGAGCUCGGGGUCCCGGCAAGGAAGGGGCCAGUUGGGCUCUUAGUGUGAAGCGACUGUGGGACAUCCUGGUGAAGACAGGACCUAAAGCCGGCAGAAGAUGCUGUGAUGUAGAUGCAAAUUGGGGCGUCUUGAUAGUCAGUGAUGCCACUGAGCUCGCGAGGUCACCCAGAGACAGUGUUGAGUGAGAAGCGGCCCUGGUGCCCCUGGGGCAGUUGAAGAGGGAAGAGGCGCCCUGGGCAUGGAAACCGCUGGGGCGGCCCUGGGUGGGAGGGGAGGUACCCAGGGGCCAGGUGCCACAGAGUCCCUCAUGGAACUAGGCCCCUGAGACCUCAGUGUUGCUCAGGACUGUUGAGUUCCUUGGAGAAUGAGAACAAAGGACCGAAGGUAGGAAAAAUAACUUGACUUCUCUGUAGGAAAAAUAGGUAUCUUGGGAAUGUUUCCAGGUGGCUGUGGUUGAUGAUAUCCACAGCAGGAGCCCAGAAGCAACAUGUCAGAACCUUAGUCUUUUCACCCAUUUGGGGAAAAAGUUAUCUCCUGGUCACAAAGAUAAAGUUGCUUUUGACCACUAGCCUAGUAAAGUCCACUGUGGUGGUAAUGAGAGGUGAAGCCAGCUGGACUUCCUGGAUCGAGUAGGGACUUGGAGAACGUUUCUGUCUUACAAGGGGAUUGUAAAAUGCAUUAGUCAGCACUCUGUAGCUAGCUAGAGGUUUGUAAAAUGCACCAAUCAGUGCUCUGUAGAGCUAGCUAGAGGUUUGUAAAAUGGACCAAUCAGCACUCUGUAAAAUGGACCAAUCGGCAGGACAUGAGCAGGGACAAAUAAGGAAAUAAAAGCUGACCACCCUCCAGCCAGCAGGGACAACCCACUCGGAUCUUCUUCCAUGCUGUGGAAGCUUUGUUCUUUCGCUCUUCACAAUAAAUGUUGCUGCUACUCA